UACCAGCACCCCGAGUGUUCGGGACGAUUAUUGGGCCUAAAGCAUCCGUAGCCGGUUCUACAAGUCUUCCGUUAAAUCCACCUGCUUAACAGAUGGGCUGCGGAGGAUACUAUAGAGCUAGGAGGCGGGAGAGGCAAGCGGUACUUAGUGGGUAGGGGUAAAAUCCGUUGAUCCAUUGAAGACCACCAGUGGCGAAGGCGGCUUGCCAGAACGCACUCGACGGUGAGGGAUGAAAGCUGGGGGAGCAAGCCGG
rnacentral:rRNA from 1 species